rnacentral:rRNA from 1 species
AGAGUUUGAUCAUGGCUCAGGAUGAACCUAGCGGCAGGCUUAACACAUGCAAGUCGAGGGGUAUAGUUCUUCGGAACUAGAGACCGGCGCACGGGUGCGUAACGCGUAUGCAAUCUACCUUUUACAGAGGGAUAGCCCAGAGAAAUUUGGAUUAAUACCUCAUAGCAUAGCAACUUCGCAUGAAGUCACUAUUAAAGUCACAACGGUAAAAGAUGAGCAUGCGUCCCAUUAGCUAGUUGGUAAGGUAACGGCUUACCAAGGCUACGAUGGGUAGGGGUCCUGAGAGGGAGAUCCCCCACACUGGUACUGAGACACGGACCAGACUCCUACGGGAGGCAGCAGUGAGGAAUAUUGGACAAUGGGCGCAAGCCUGAUCCAGCCAUGCCGCGUGCAGGAUGACGGUCCUAUGGAUUGUAAACUGCUUUUAUACGAGAAGAAACACUGCUUCGUGAAGCAGCUUGACGGUAUCGUAAGAAUAAGGAUCGGCUAACUCCGUGCCAGCAGCCGCGGUAAUACGGAGGAUCCAAGCGUUAUCCGGAAUCAUUGGGUUUAAAGGGUCCGUAGGCGGUUUAAUAAGUCAGUGGCGAAAGCCCAUCGCUCAACGGUGGAACGGCCAUUGAUACUGUUAAACUUGAAUUAUUAGGAAGUAACUAGAAUAUGUAGUGUAGCGGUGAAAUGCUUAGAGAUUACAUGGAAUACCAAUUGCGAAGGCAGGUUACUACUAAUGGAUUGACGCUGAUGGACGAAAGCGUGGGUAGCGAACAGGAUUAGAUACCCUAGUAGUCC